rnacentral:rRNA from 1 species
UAUAUCAGUCAUGCAUAGCAUAUCAAUAAGCGGAGGAAAAGAAACUAACAAGGAUUCCCCUAGUAACUGCGAGUGAAGCGGGAAGAGCUCAAAUUUGAAAUCUUAAAAGGUUUUCCUUUUACGAAUUGUAGUUUAAAGAAGUGGUUUUCUGUUGAAAUUUUAGUAAAAGUUCUUUGGAAUAGGACAUCAUAGAGGGUGAGAAUCCCGUAUUUGACUAGAAUUUUUCAACUUUGUGAUACACUUUCAAAGAGUCGGAUUGUUUGGGAAUGCAGUCCAAAAUGGGUGGUAAAUUUCAUCUAAAGCUAAAUAUUGGCGAGAGACCGAUAGCGAACAAGUACCGUGAGGGAAAGAUGAAAAGAACUUUGAAAAGAGAGUUAAAUAGUACGUGAAAUUGUCAAAAGGGAAGCGUUUGGCACCAGUGUUGUUUUUCUAAAAAUCAAUUUAAAAUUUGCUUAUGCUAAGUUUUUUAGACUUAAUCGGCUAAUAAUUUAGUUUUUUGUAAUUUUUGAAUGCACUUUUUAGUUAACAAGUCAACAUCAAUUUCUUUUGUUGUAAAAGAAUAAGAGGAAGGUGGCUUGGAUUUAGUUUCAAGUGUUUAUAGCCUUUUAUUUAUGCAAUAGGAGGGAUUGAGGUCUGCAGCAUAGGAUCCUUCGGGGCUAGAUGCAUUUGUCGCUAAGAGUCAGUAUUAUAUAAACAACUUGUUGAUUAUGUAGUAUGUUGAUUUUUACUCGGGAGUGUUAUUUUACCUACGCUUAGGAUGUUGACGCAUGAGAUAUACGC